GACGAACGCUGGCGGCGUGCUUAACACAUGCAAGUCGAACGGAAAGGCCCCUUUGGGGGUACUCGAGUGGCGAACGGGUGAGUAACACGUGAGUAACCUGCCCUUGACUUCGGGAUAACUUCAGGAAACUGGGGCUAAUACCGGAUAGGAAUCCUUGCUGCAUGGUGGGGGUUGGAAAGCUUCUGCGGUUUUGGAUGGACUCGCGGCUUAUCAGCUUGUUGGUGGGGUAGUGGCUUACCAAGGCUUUGACGGGUAGCCGGCCUGAGAGGGCGACCGGCCACAUUGGGACUGAGAUACGGCCCAGACUCCUACGGGAGGCAGCAGUGGGGAAUAUUGCACAAUGGGCGGAAGCCUGAUGCAGCAACGCCGCGUGCGGGAUGACGGCCUUCGGGUUGUAAACCGCUUUCAGCAGGGGCGAAGCUUUUGUGACGGUACCUGCAGAAGAAGCACCGGCUAACUACGUG
rnacentral:rRNA from 1 species